GGAAGAUUUCCGUUUCCAUAAAUAAAUUGUUCCCAAAUUAGUACCAACAGCCAAAGUAUCUGAGAAAUGCGAGAUAUUAUUAUAUACAUUUAUAUAUACAUUUCGCUAAUUGUUUUCAAACUUGGAUGAAAAUAACAAUAAUAAUACAAGAAACACAUUGGUUAACUCGUUCUUACCAUUGCUUUUGCAAAACGCCAAACUGGUACACAUUUCCUGAGGAGUGGCAAUAUUUCCAUUAGAUGAAUCUGGAGGCGAGAGAACGUAUGUAUCACCUGUAUGAAGAUCCCAACAUCGGAUAGCGAGUUCUCCUGUGAGCACAGCCAAGGUAUUUCCACUGAUCCAACAUAGAGUGGUACUAGCAACAUGGUUCUCGCAUUGAUAUAAGCAUGCAGCAAUAGCAAGACGGAUCGUACAUCUAUACACGAACCAGCCAGCAGAAUAUUUUAUUGUGAG